GCACAAGCGGUGGAGUAUGUGGUUAAUCGAUGCAACGCGAAGAACCUUACCUGGUCUUGACAUCCCGGAGACCCUUAGGAAACUAGGGGGUGCUUCCAUCUGGAAGAAUCUGGAGACAGGUGCUGCAUGGCUGUCGUCAGCUCGUGUCGUGAGAUGUUGGGUUAAGUCCCGCAACGAGCGCAACCCUUGCCUUUAGUUGCCAGCAGUUCGGCUGGGCACUCUAAAGGGACUGCCGGUGUUAAACCGGAGGAAGGUGGGGAUGACGUCAAGUCCUCAUGGCCUUUAUGACCAGGGCUACACACGUACUACAAUGGCCGAUACAAAGGGCAGCGACACUGCGAGGUGAAGCCAAUCCCGUAAAAUCGGUCUCAGUCCGGAUUGGAGUCUGCAACUCGACUCCAUGAAGUUGGAAUCGCUAGUAAUCGUGGAUCAGCAUGCCACGGUGAAUACGUUCCCGGGCCUU
rnacentral:rRNA from 1 species